rnacentral:rRNA from 1 species
AAAGAGUAAGAAAUUUUUGUAAAUGUACCUUUUGUAUCAGGGGAGGUCAAAAGUUAAAGUAGUAAUAGACCGAUUUUAGCAGAGCCUUUUAUGAGGUAGUUGUGGUUGUAUUCACGGGUCUAACAAAUUACGGGGUGAAAAAUGUACGAUGCUUAUAGUAGCUGUUUGUUUUCUGCUGCGAGAGGUAAGCUUUCGUUUGCCUAACUGGGCGGAUAAGUUAAGGAAUUAGGCCUUGUAUUAGCCAAAUUAUUAAAUUGUUUUAAAUAACUUAACGGGUAAAUAAAAAGUUAGGGUUAAAGGACUUGGUUUAUGAGUGUUAGUAGGCCUAAAUAAUGAGCUUAUUGAACAGAGAGCGGAGUGCGAAAGUAACUCGGGGCUGGUUAGAAUGUUUAGCAAAAACAUUUCCUCUCGUGAGGGAGAGGUAAGACCUGCCCAGUGAUUUUUAACGGCUGCGGUAUUUUGACUGUGCUAAGGUAGCAUAAUCACUUGUUGCUUAAUUGGUAACUUGAAUGAAAGGUUAAACUAACUUACCUAGUUUGUUGCGCUGGUUAAUAGAUUAAAGUCAAGGUAAGAAUUCUUUGAUUUACUAGGGGACGAUAAGACCCUAGAAGCUUGACAAGGGGUUUAUCUGUUAGUUGUGGAGAUAAGUUUGUUUUACUGGGGCGGUAAAGGUAUAUAAACUAUUAAAUUUAUUGGAGGAUCCUUAAGAUAAAGAAAAAGCGGGGAAGCUACUCUAGGGAUAACAGUGCGAUAUUUUUGGAGAGAUCUUAUCGAUAAAUAUGUUUGCAACCUCGAUGUUGAAUUAAAAUUUCUGCGUGGAGCAGAAGAUACGGAGAGGUUUGUUCAAC